rnacentral:hammerhead_ribozyme from 1 species
AUACACCUGGCGAGUUCCAAAUAGGACGAAACAUGCGUCCUGGAU